CGCGAAGAACCUUACCAGGUCUUGACAUCCCGCUGCCCGCCUAGGAGACUAGGCUUUCCCUUCGGGGACAGCGGUGACAGGUGGUGCAUGGUUGUCGUCAGCUCGUGUCGUGAGAUGUUGGGUUAAGUCCCGCAACGAGCGCAACCCUUGAUCUUAGUUGCCAGCAUUCAGUUGGGCACUCUAAGGUGACUGCCGGUGACAAACCGGAGGAAGGUGGGGAUGACGUCAAAUCAUCAUGCCCCUUAUGACCUGGGCUACACACGUGCUACAAUGGACGGUACAAAGGGCUGCAAACCCGCGAGGGGGAGCCAAUCCCAGAAAACCGUUCUCAGUUCGGAUUGCAGACUGCAAUCG
rnacentral:rRNA from 1 species